CUGUAGGUACCCUACUUAGGUACUGCAGUCGAGCGGUAGCACAAGAGCUUGCUCCCUGGGUGACGAGCGGCGGACGGGUGAGUAAUGUCUGGGAAACUGCCUGAUGGAGGGGGAUAACUACUGGAAACGGUAGCUAAUACCGCAUAACGUCGCAAGACCAAAGAGGGGGACCUUCGGGCCUCUUGCCAUCAGAUGUGCCCAGAUGGGAUUAGCUAGUAGGGAACUAGGCGACGAUCCCUAGCUGGUCUGAGAGGAUGACCAGCCACACUGGAACUGAGACACGGUCCAGACUCCUACGGGAGGCAGCAGUGGGGAAUAUUGCACAAUGGGCGCAAGCCUGAUGCAGCCAUGCCGCGUGUGUGAAGAAAGCCUUCGGGUUGUAAAGCACUUUCAGCGAGGAGGAAGGUGGUGAACUUAAUACGUUCAUCAAUUGACGUUACUCGCAGAAGAAGCACCGGCUAACUCCGUGCCAGCAGCCGCGGUAAUACGGAGGGUGCAAGCGUUAAUCGGAAUUACUGGGCGUAAAGCGCACGCAGGCGGUUUGUUAAGUCAGAUGUGAAAUCCCCGGGCUCAACCUGGGAACUGCAUUUGAAACUGGCAAGCUAGAGUCUCGUAGAGGGGGGUAGAAUUCCAGGUGUAGCGGUGAAAUGCGUACAGAUCUGGAGGAAUACCGGUGGCGAACGCGGCCCCCUGGACGAACACUGACGCUCAGGUGCGAAAGCGUGGGGAGCAAACAGGAUUACAUACCCUGGUAGUCCACGCUGUAAACGAUGUCGAUUUGGAGGUUGUGCCCUUGAGGCGUGGCUUCCGGAGCUAACGCGUUAAGUCGACCGCAGACGGGGAGUACGGGCCGCAAGGUAAAACAUCAWAUGAUUUGACCGGGGGCCCGCCCAAGCGGGGGGAGCAUGUGGUUUAAUUCGAUGCAACGCGAGAACCUUACCUACUCUUGGCAUUCGCGAGAAUUUUCCAGAGAUGGUUGGUUGCCUUCGGGAAACCCUAAAAACAAGGAGCUGCAUUGGCUUGUCCGCCCGCUUCGUGGUUGUGGAAAUGUUGGGGUUUAAAUCCCGGCAAACCCUCCGU
rnacentral:rRNA from 1 species